rnacentral:lncRNA from 1 species
GGUCAAAUUGCCAUGGGUCCCAACUUGAAAGAGAGAGCCUAAAAUUGAGUAGGUUCGUUAAAUUUGUCAGUCUGUAGCUAAGGUAUAUAGUUGGGUGAAUUACUUGGGUAGAAAUAAUGAUGUCAUGGGGCCCCAGAGAAGAUUUUCCCAGGCCCUGUGGAUUCUCUCAGCAGCCCUGUGUGUUUCAUUAUGACUGUCUUGUAAAUAAUGUUCUGCUCCUUAUUCUAUGACUUAUAUACUAUUGAUUAUUUUUAAUCUCUUUUUAUAGUUGAUAUACAAGCGGUUCUAUUCCACUUCAUCUGCCAACGAUAUAUGCACACUUUUUGCUGAAAGAAAUCUAAUUAACAGGAGAAAUGUCAAGACUGGUACCCAUCAUUCUUACGAGGCAAACUCACAUAUACUUCUCUUCCCGAAAUAAACGAGUACAAAGCUUCAAACUGUUUUUCUUUUAAAUAUUUAAUGCCAAAUGAAGGAAGCAGAGAGUCGACACACUUGUGAAGUUGUUCACGCGUUAUUUCAUUACAUUCCGCCAUUUUAGAUUUUAUUAUUUUAUGUCUUGUUUAUAUGCAUAAUUAUC